UACGGGGGGAGCAAGCGUUGUUCGGAUUUACUGGGCGUAAAGGGCGCGUAGGCGGCCUCUGCAAGUCGACUGUGAAAUCUCCGGGCUUAACCCGGAACGGUCAGCCGAUACUGCAGGGCUAGAGUGCAGAAGGGGCAACUGGAAUUCUUGGUGUAGCGGUGAAAUGCGUAGAUAUCAAGAGGAACACCUGCGGCGAAGGCGGGUUGCUGGGCCGACACUGACGCUGAGGCGCGAAAGCUAGGGGAGCGAACGGG
rnacentral:rRNA from 1 species